CCAGGGUGUGGGGUCUCUGAGUGUUGGAAUGUGUGUUCCUGAGCAUAAAGUCUCAUAGGCUGGUUAGAGAUGUUUCCAGAGUCGGAGGUCCCCGUACUAUUUUUGGUUCUGUGCCUUGUCCCAGUGUCACACUUGUCAGUGUGAGGUCGCUGAGUUGUUUGGAAACUUAUGUGCAGGAUGUCACCUUUCUGAGCUGUUUGGGAUCAAUAUCCCAGAGGAUAUCACUGAAAUGAUUAUGUUUGGGAUCACAAGAUUUGUGUCACAGCUGUCUGAGCCUUUUGUGUGUGAGGUCUCAGAACACUUUGUAGGGCUGGUGCUCAUGUUAUGCGGUGUUUGAGUAUUUUUCCCCUACUUACUUUCCCCUCAUUAACAGCGUGUCCUUUAAGUACUCCCACCAGCUGGGACAGGUGUGUCACUCUCAUUCUGUUUGCGUCCAAGCCUCUGAAUUGCUUUGUGGUCUAUGACAAGAUUGUGAGGUCUUUGCCUAGAUUUUAUGUAUAUCCCAGGUGGUGAGGUCUCUGUGUCCAUAGUAUGAGGUAUGUGAGUUGUUUGGGGUUUGUGUCCCAGUGUGGAAGUUCCCUGUGGUGUUUUGGUGUCCCAGGGUGUGAGGUCUCUGAGAUGUUUGUAGGAGUCUGUGACCAGAGGAUGAGAUCUAUGAAAUAACCAGCUAUCUAUGUCUCAUUAUGCAAGUUCUCUGAGCUUUUUGCCAGCCUUUGGCCAGAGUGUGAAGUCUCUAGGCUGUUCUGUGGUCUGUGUCCACAGUGUGAAAUCCCUGAACUGUUUUGGAUUCUGUGUUCCAUGAUGUGAGGUCUCUAAGCGCUUUUGUGCUCUGUGUUCAACAAUGUCAAGUCCCUGAGCCAUCUGCUGUAUGUUUCCAGUGGUGAGGUCUCAUUCUGUUUCACGCCCAGCUGGUACUCCAUGGUAUAAUAAAUUACCUUUAUUUAUUUACCCUCUUCCCUCUAGGUGUUUGCUUCUCUCACACAGACCUGUGCACGUGUGAGUGUUUCCUUAGAACACUAAUUUAGAGGCAGGAAUUGUCAGGCCAAAGGAGUCAUUUAUUCAACAAACUCACUGUGUGCAGAGCUCAGUUUUAGGCACUGCAGAGACACAGGGAAACUAGAAAUCCACAUACACACUGGUGGCACUGACAUUCUAGUGGGGAGAGGUGUCAAUUUUUUAUUUUGAUCAAUGCUGCCACACAAAUUCACACUUCCAUCAGUGGCAUCAGGGUAAUGAAUGUCUUUUUACGGGUCAGGGCUCUGCAGCAAGGGGUUGGGCGCCCUGGCCUCGCUCUCAACAAGAUCAUCAGGAUAUGGGGCUGAGACUGGGGGGCAUGGGAGGGAGAGACGGGGAUGGAACGUGGGCAGGAGGAGGAAGACAUGAGUUUAUUUAGUGGUGUUGGCGUGAACCGAAGAUUGAACGGUUCCUGGGACGUUGACAAGAAACACCCCUUCCUAGGUCGCACACACACGGACAGCGUGAGGGGUGAGAAUGAAGAGUUAAUAAUAAGACAAUGCAGCUCCGGGACAUACCAUUGCGCGAUGCGGAGAGGGAACAGUUCGCUCCGGGAAGUACCACGGCGGGGGGGCGGAGGAUCACGUAUUCUGGAAGAAACCACUCUAUGUGUGGGGACACGAAAGGGCUCAUCCCGCGCGUGGAUCAGUCCCCACCCCAGAAAGAGGAGAGAAUGGCGCUGCCCUAACCGACCUCGGCGCCGUGGUGGUGGGGGAACCCCGCCCUUGGCCUAAAGCCUCCAUCUAUCAGGAAGCCGCCAUCGCGGUGGUCUUACGUUUGGUCCCGCCUGGGUUGGCUCUACAGAUUCCAAUCAACAGCAGAAGUCGGGUAGGGUGGAAGGCCGCGGAGCGGUGAUUGGCUCCGGGGUGAGUAAGGCGGGAUCAAGUCCCAUCCUGAGCUCUGAUUGGUCACCGCGAGCCGGCCUACCCCAAGCUCUUUCAGGGUACCGAGGUUUUCCGGAAUUACUUACAGGCUGCGAGCCGGGUCCUCCGGCUCUGUGCUGCCAUUGGCUGCUGGUUUGACGCAGGCGCUGUGCCUCCUGGGUUGGCGUUCGGGGUUGCAGAGGCAGGGCUUUGGCUACUGGAGAAUGGAAGUUCGAAUCCCGUCUAGGAACUUCAGUUUACGCACCUGUAAAAGCAGCUGGCAUUAUUGGCUGGCACAGAAUGUGUCGGGACCCACUCAUGCUUCGCAACAGCACUGAGGAAAAUUCUGCUCCAGGGUUCCUGACAUCUGUAUUUUAGGCCUCCAGUAGGUCUGAGUCCUGCAGAGAAGGUUCAAGGCGAUCUCAUGAUCCUCCUCCAAGGCAUCACCUCCUCCCUCCGGAGAGGAUGACUUAGAGGCUUCCUGCCACCUCUGGACCAGGCCUGACUAGGGGUGUGUGGAGGUGUAUGUGUGUGGAGGAGUAGGGCCAGGCGGUCGGCCAUAAAUGACCAAAGAGAGAUGCAUGAUUUCAUGCUCUGGGAUGGAGGGGUGUGUGGCAAUUAAAAGGAGAAUUUUGAAGGCGGACAAGACAACUCAAAAGAGUAAACUUUUUAAUGAUGGGAUUUUAAGCAUCAGGCAGGGGAGGUGUUUGGCUGAGUGCAGGUAAAUAGGAGGAAAGUGGUUCUCACCUCAGUCAACUCCAUCAUAAGGUAGUCAUUACACGCCGUGCGCGGUUUGUAAGACUGUCCAGGAUGGGAAGUCUCGGACUUGUUUUGGAAUGUCAGUUCAGAGUAUGACAUCUGUGAACAGACUGUGAUGCCUCUUGGCUGUUUUGGGGUCCGUGUCACAGGGGUUCAGGUCUGCCACAUGUUUCUGGGUCACUGUUCCAGGGUGUGAAGUCUCUAAGCUGUUUGGGGGUCUUUGUCUCUAGGUGUGCAGGGGUUUUUUUUUUCCUUAAAAUUGAAUUUUAUUUUGUUUUAUUGGCAUUUCUUUGACUACUAGAGGAGCUUAAUACUGUUUUUGGAGCUUGUUGGCAAGAUAUAUUUAAGCUUUAUAAAUUUCCUUUUAUGUCCUUUGACCUUUUCUCCUUUUUUUAAAAAAAGGUUUUUUAAAAAUCAUUUUAGAUUUAGAGAAAAACUGCAAAAAUAGUGCAGAGAGUUCUUGUAUGCCCUUUGCCCAGCUUCCCCUAAUGCAGAGAACUUACGUAACCAUAGUACAAUUUUAAAACCAGGAAGUCAGCGAUACUAUUGUUCAUGAGCUGUUGUUCACCUGUUUGGUGUCUGCAUCCAAGGUGUGAAACAUCUGAGCUCUUUGGACCCGAGCUCUCUCAGGUUCUGUGUCCCAUGCUGUGAUGUCUUUGAGCAUUAGUGUAUGUUUCUAGAUGCUAGGUCUUUGAUCUUAUUGGUGGUCUUUGUCACAGAGAAUGAUAUUUUUGUCCUAUUAGGGGUCUCUUCAGAGCAUGUCUUCUCUGAGCUGUUUGGGCUUCUGUGUUCAGGGUGUGAGGUCUCUGAGCGCUUUGAGGGUCUGUGUCCAAAGCUGUGUGUACUUUCAGUUUUUAUUGGUCUCUAGCAGAGAUUCGAAGGUCAGUAAGUACUUUGGGGUUCUGUGUCUAGGACAGGGUUUGCCAACCUCAGCACUAUUGACAUUUUGGACCAGAAAAUUCUUUGUUACGGAGGGCGUCUUAGGGUGUUGUAUUCGUUUGCUAGGGCUGCUGUAAAAAAAAAAAAAAAGUACUACCAACUAGGAAGCUCAAACAACAGAAAUUUAUUGUCUCACAGUUCUGGAGGCUACAAGUCCGAGAUCAAGGUGUGAGCAGGGUUGGUUCCUUCUGAGGGCUGAGAAGGAGAAUCGGUUGCAGGCCUCUCGCCCAGCUUCUGGUGGUUUGCUGGCAGUCUGACGCUCCUUGGCUUCUGCGGCCUCACCCUGAUCUCUGCCUUCAUCUUCACGUGGCGUUCUCUUUGUGCACGUGUGUCUGUAUCCGAAUUUCCCUUUUUAUAAAGACACCAGUCAUAUGGGAUUAGGGACCCGCCCAGCUUCAGUGUGACCUUAUCUUCUAUCUGCAAUGAUCCUGUUUCCAAAUAAGGUCACAUCCUGAGGUUUUAGGGUUUGGGACUUCACCAUAUGAAUUUGGGGGCGGACGCAAUUCAACCCAUAACAGAUGUUUCACUUGAGAAAGACGGGAAAGGAGGGAGAGGGAGAGAGGGAAGGAGCAGCCGCCAACGUCCAGAAGCUGUCCUGGCACUCACAGCCCGGCUGUGUUAUUCUCUUAUUAGACAUAAACGAUCUCACAGAAUACUAAUGUCAGACACGGUUACUCUGAGACCGUGCUAAAAUGAGACAAAGCAGAACUGCUUUAUAACGUUGUCUAAGCACAAAAACAAGGUCACUGUGCCACCCACAAGACACCAGACAUCCCCCUCUCUUGGUUAAAAUGACGGACUGCUACUUCUUUACCAAUUGCAGCUUUAUCCUAACUCUAGUCUGCCCUCUCUAAAGAUAAGGUUUAUCGAGAUACCCGAUCAUAAAAUUGCCCUCACUUUCUGACAGCAUCCAAUCCAGACUGAGCUGAGCCCCCACUUUCUUAGACCCCCCCACAAACCACUCAACUGAAGCCCAGAUCCUAUAAUGGGUUCUUUCUAACACCCUCCUGCCAAGAUGUCCCACGGUUCCCCGGGAUGUGCUUUCUCCCUCACUGUGGUCAAUCAUAAGCCCAGCCUGUUCAACUUGAGGUAUGUUCCUGGGGGAUCUUUGGCUAAAGGGCGCUGACAGGCAGUAUCUUUGAUCUCUACUCACUAGAUGCCAGUAGCACCUCCCCCCUCCCAGCUGUGACAACCCAAACUGUCCCUAGAUAGUGCCAAUGUUCCCUGGGAGCUAGAGUACGGAGUGUUUGAGGAGUCUGGGGGUCUUUGUCUGAGGUUUGUGUUCUCUGAGAGGUGUUUGGGUCUGUGUCUCAGGACGUGAAGUCUGGUCUAUCUCAGGGUCUCUACCAUACUGUUGGAAAGCUCUGAGCUCUUUGGGGUGCUGUAUCAGGAAUAAGUGACCUCAUUAUGUACCAAAAUCCAGACAUGAAAUAUUUGUGGCACCCUCGCCCCGACCCUGGCCAUAUGCCAGUUCAGAAAGGCAGUGAGAAGAAGGAGUCACGUGAUUGGUCGUGAACUCCUCCACACACAGUCACAGCAACCCCAGCUUCCUUGUCUAGACCAUGAAGUAUAUAUAGGUGGCCCACUUCCUUCAGAACAUCUAUCUUGCCCUUUGUUCUAGAGCUCACAGAGUCACCCUUGACACCGUUUGUGGAGAGCGAGUUGUAGGGAGGUGUUUGUUGUGUCUCCUCACACCAGAGCCCUGGAGUGGGAACCCCUGUCUCUUGGGAUGGACGUUGCUUAGAUGGACGUUGGAGUCCAUCUCCCCUCAGGCCUCGUUCACACCCAAUACUACCAGCUCACACCCAGUACAUGUGGGUUUUGGAGCCUGGUGGACCCUAUUUCAGAGCAUGGAACCCCCAAGUCCUGGGAGAGUCUAGCUUUGUGCAUUGUAUUUCUAAACCUAAACUUGACUUGCUGAGGUUUUACAAGACUGCUCUGAGUCAGUAGGACAAUGUGCGAUCCAUACACCUCUACUCCGUUAAUUUCAGCCCUCCCUCCCGCUCCCAGUCACACUUCACUUCUGAAAGCAGAAUUCAGGGCUGGGAGAAGGGAUGCAAUCCAGGUAAAUGCCUGGCCUGGCCAGGGGCCAGUGUGGGUCUGAGACUGUCUCAGUUCGAACAUAGGAGUAACAUGCACAUAUCGUUUAAUAUAAAUAUGUGUUGGGUUCAAGAAGGAAUAAACAUUUUCCAGAAUUGUGUCUCCAUCUCUAGUAAACCUACAAUUUUACUUCAGCUGUUCUCUCAAGAACAUGCAUCACAGGCUGUGCAUCAGGAAGCAAGGAUGCACAGUGAGAAGAAAUAUUGUUCCUCUUGUGAAAACUGCAAAUAAGAGAGACAGGUUUGUACAUUUAUGCAAGAGGCAGGAUCUGAGCUCUGGAGAAAGGCUUGGGGGGAGGGUGCAGGGUCUCAGUGAGUCAAAGAAGCCUUAAGAGAAAUUAAAAAUUAGUUUGAACUAAAUGAAAAUUAAAAUAAAACUUAGCAAAUUUGUGAGAUGCAGCAAAGCAGUGCUUACUUUGAGGGAAAUUUAAAAGGCAUUUUGGCUUCUGCCUUGCUCUUUCUUGGAUCCCUUGCUCUAGGGGAAGCCAGGCACCAUGUCAUGAGGACACCCAAGCAGCCCCAUGGAAAGAUUAAUGUACCACAGAACUGCACCCCAGCCAAAAGCCAGCACCAUCUUGCCAGCCGUGUGAGUGAUCCAAAUUGGAAAAGGAGCUUCCAGCCCCAGUCAAGCCUUCAGAUGACUGUGGCCUGAGGGACCCAAAGCCAGAACCACACAGCUAAGCUGCUCCUAAAUUCCUGACUCCUCCAAACUGUGUGAGAUAAUUAAUGUUUACUGUUGUUUUAAGCUGCUAAAUUUUAUGGUAAUUUGUGGUGUUUCUGAACUCUUUGAGAGUCUCUGUCCAGGGUUCGAGAUUUCUGAACUUUAUACAUCCUAGGGUGUUUUGGGCAUUCUAUUUCACAUUUUUAGGCCUCUGAUCUCUUUGGGUUCUUUCUCUAGGUUUUUAGCUCUCUGCAUUAUUUGGGGAUCUAUCUCCCAAAGUGUGGCUAUUUUUCUGCUCAUGUCCAGAAUGUGAUCAUAACUCUUUGGGAUCCUUAAUCCUGGGGUAUGAUGUCUCUAAGAUACUUUGUACUGUACUUGGGUUCAGGAUUUGAAGCCUCUGAGCUCUCUGGCAGUCUUUGUUCUGGGUGUGAGGUCACUGAGGUGUCUGGGAGGCUGUGUCUCAGGUUUCCCGGCCAUGACCUCUUUGGAGGACUGUGCACAGGUUUUGUUUGUUCUUUGAAGUGUAUGCAUUUUUAAAUGCCGGGAAGAGACAUCACCAAGAUGACUGAAAUCUGCAUCCGUGGCGAUAGGUGUCGGAGCAGUUUGGGCCACUGAGUCCCUAGAUUUGAAGUCUCUGCAGUGUUUGGGAGUCUAUGUCCAGAUAUUGACAUUUAUGAUUUUGAGGGCAGAGUGAAUUUGUGUCCCAGGGUGUCAGCUUUCUGAAUUGUUUAUGGGUGUAUGUCCCAGGAGGUAAGGUUCCUAAACUGUUUGUGGGUAUAUGUCCCAAAUGUGUGAGGUCCCUGAUAUGCUUGUGGCUACAUGUUGCAGUAUAUGAGGUCUCAGCUCAUGGGUGUAUGUACCAGGAUGUGAGUUAUCUGAGCUCUUUGAGUAUGCGUGUCUGAGAUUAUGAAGUCUCUGAUGUGUUUGGAUGUAUGUUUCCCAGGAUGAGAGAUUUCUGAUUUGCUUGUGGGUAUAUAUUCCAGGAUGUUACUUACCUGAUCUAUUUGGGUGUGUAUGGUGUAAGGUUUCUGAUCUGCUUGUGAGUGUAUGUCCCGGGGUAUGAGGUCUCUGAUCUGUUUUUGGCUCUAUGUCCCUGGAUGUUAGAUCUCUGAUCUCUUUGUGAGUGUAUGUGCAAAUGUGUGAGCUCUCUGAUCUCUUUGUGGGUAUAUGUGCCAAGGUAUAAGGUCUCUGAGCUCUUUGUGGGUAUAUUUCCUUGGUUGUUAGAUUCCUGAGCUUUUUCGAUUGUGUUUUCUGCAGCAUUAGUACUCUGAUCCAUUUGUUGAGAGUGUGUUUUUGUAAUAUAUGAGGACUAUUCUGUCUGAGGGUGUAUGUCCCAGAGUGUGAGGUCUCUGCCGUGUUUGUGGGUGUAUGUGUCUGGGUGUGAGGUUUCUAAAACGUUUGUGGGCGUAGUUCCCAGGAUGUAAGUUCCCUGGACCAUUUGUGGGUAUAUAUUCCCAGAAUGUGAGAUCUCAGAUCUAUCACUGUAUAUGUCCCAGUAUGUGAGGUCUCUCUUCAUGAGUGUACGUCAAGGGUAUGAGCUCUCUGAUACUUUUGUGUUUUUAUGUCUCAGGAAAUGAGGUCUCCGAUUUGUUUAGGGAGAGGAUUUCACAUAAUGUGAAUUCUCAAGUAUGCUUGUGGCUCUAUGACCUAGGAUGUAGGUCUCCGAUCUCUUUGGGUGUGUAUGUCCCAUGGUAUGAAGUCUCUGAGCUCUUUGUUGGUAUUUAUCCCAAGGUGUGAAGUCUCUGAUCUGUUGGGUGGUAUAUUUCCCAGGAUGUGAGCUCUCUGAUCCAUUUGUUGCUGUAUACUAGUAUGUGAGUCUGUCUUCGUUGGUGUAUGUCAAGGUCUGUUUGUGGGUGUAUUUCCCAGGGUAUGAGGUCUCUGGUCUGUUUCUGAGUGUACAUUCCAGAGUAAGGAGUCUCUGAUCUGUUUGUCCACAUAAGUCUCUGGAUGUGUAAGGUCUCUGAUCUUUUCAGAGCUGUAUCAAGAGGUCUUUCAUCUCUUUAUGGUUAUAACUCCCAGAUGUGAUGUCUGUGUUGUAUCUGUGGCUGCAUGUCUUAGCGUUUUAGGUAUCUGGGUUGUUUCUGCAAGUGUGCCCCAGGGUGUGAUCUCUUUGUGCGUGAGUGUCCCAGAUGUGAGGUCUCUGAUCUGUUUGUGGGUAUAUUCACCAGAAUGGGAGACCUCUGAUACGUUUAUGAGUGUAUGUCCCAGGGCAUGAGACUGCUGAUCUGUUUGUGCACGUAAACCCCACAAUUUGAGGUCUCUGAUCUGCUUGUCACUAUGAUUACCUGUGCGUGAGGUGUCUUUCAUGGGUGUAUGCCAAGAAUGUAAGUUGUCUAAUAUGUUUGUGGUUGUAUGAACCUGGGUGUGAGGUCUCUUGUUUAUGGGUGUGUGUUUCAGUGUGUGAGGUUCGUGAGGUCUUUUUGGGUUUGUGUCCCAUGGUGUGAGGUCUCUGAUCUAUUUGGGGCUAUUUACCAGGAUAUGAAGUUUACGACCUUUUUGUUGUUAUAUAUUCCAUGAUGUGAGGUCUGUAACGGUAAUUGUAUAUCGUAAUAUGUGAGGUCUCGUACAUGGGUGUAUGUAAAAAGUGUAAGGUCUUUAAUCUGUUUGUUUUAUAUAUCCCUGGGUGUGAGGUGUCUCAUCAGUUAAUGGAUUUAAUUCCUAGAGUUGGACAUCGCUGAUCUGUUUGCAAGUGUGUCUCCCAUGAUGUGAUGUCUCUGAUCUUUUCGAUGGUGCGUGUUCCACAAUGUGCGGUAUCUCAUCUAUUCCUCAGUGUAUUUCCAAGUGUGAGGUCUCUCACUCUGUGAGGGUAUAUGUCCUAUGAUGGGAGGCCUCAUGUAUUUGUAGGUAUAUUCCCAGGAUAUGAGCUCUCUCCUCUCUUUUGAGCAGUAUGUCCCAAUUUGAGAGGACUCUGCUUCGUUUCUGAGUGUAUUUCCCAGUAUGUGAGGUCUCUGAGCUGUUUGUGCUGUACACUGCAGGAUUUGAGUUCUCCAGUCUAUCAUGUGUGCAUGUGUCAGGUUGUGAGGUUGCUAAUCUCUUUGUGAGUGUAUAUCACAGAAUGAGAGUCUCUGAUCUGUUUGUUGUGUUUGUCAAGGGUAUAAGGUCUGAUCUCGUUGUGCAUAUAUGUCCCAGGAUGUAUGGACCCUAGCUGUUUGCGGGUGUUUGUCCCAGGUUGUGAGAGCUGUUGGUGAGUGUAUGUCCCAGGAUGUGAAGUCUCUGAUCUGCUUGGGUGUGUUUGUUCAGGGGUGAGAUUUCUAAUCUGUUCUGGGGUACAUAUCCCAGGAGGUAAGGUCUCUGAUCGCAUGGUGUGUCUAAUUCCAAGAAUUUAAGUAAGGUCUCUGAUCAUCUGUGGGUGUAUGUCCCGGACUGUGUGUUUCUCUGCUUUCUGUGGGUGUACAUACCAGGUUGUGAGUUCUCUGAUCUGCUAAGAGGGUUAUUUUCCAAGAUUUGAGGUUUCUGAUUUGUUUGUGGGUGUAUAUCGUAGAGUGUGAAGUCUUGGGUCUCGUAGGGUGUGUAUGUCCAGAGUGUAAGGUUUGGACCUCUCUGUGGUUGUGUCUCAUGGUGUGAGGGCUCUUCUCUGUUCAUUCCUGUAUGUUUCAGUGUGUGACGUCUGUUCGGAAUUUUGUUAAGGAUGUAAGUUCUCUGAUAUGUUUGUUGUAUGUUGCAGGACGUGAAGUCUCUGUUCUGCUUGGUGGUGAAUGUCCCAGUGUGUGAGGUCCCUGAGUUCUUUCUGUGUGUAUGUCCUGGGGAGUGACAGGUUUGUGGAUGUAUAUCCCAGGUUGUGAGCUUUCUGAUCUGUUUAGAAGUGAAUUCCACCAAGUGACAUAUCUGAACUCUUUAUGAGUGGAGGUACCAUGCUUUGAGGGUGCUCACACAUUUGUCAGUGUAUGUGCUGAGUGUGAGGACUCUAAUCUGUUUCUGGGUGUGCUACCCAGAAUGGGAGGUCUCUGAACUGUUUGUUUGUGUUGCAGGACUUGAAGUCUCUGAUUUCUGUACGGCUGUAUUCCCAGGUUGUUAGGUCCCUGAUUUGUCUGUGGGUCUAUAUAUGUGGUAGGAGCUCCCUGAUUGGUUUGUGGGUGGAUAUCCCGGAAUGUCCUGUCUGUACUGGCCUAUGUUUGUAUAUCUCUGUUCAGCUGAAUACUGGCCCCCAGUGAUAUCCGUGUUCCAAUCCCUGGAACUUGGCGACCAUGUUAACUUUCUGGCAAAAGGGACUUUACAGAUGUGGUUAAGUUAAGCACCUUGAGAUUGAGAGUCUAUCCUGGACUAUCCAGGUGGGCCCAGUGUAAUCGCUAAGGUCCUUACAUGUGGGAGGCAGGAUGGUAAGAGUCAUAAAUGAUGAUGUGACGAUACAAGCUGUCAGAGAAGGUGAUGUAAUGAUGGAAGCAGAGUCAGAAAAGCAGAUAUGACAACUGAAACAGGAAGAAGAGAGACCAGAGAGAGAUUUGAAGAUGGAGAAAGGGGCCAUGAGCCAAGGAAUGCAGGCAGCCUCUAAAACUGGAAAACACGAAGAAAUGGAUUCUCUCUUGGAGCCUCCAGGAGGAAGGCAGCUCUGCCAACAGCUUCAUUUUAUCUCUGUAAGACUCAUUUUCAGGCUUCUGACCUGUAGAAAUGUAAGAUAAUAAAUUUGUGUUGUUUUACAAUGCUCUGAUUGUAGUGAUUUGUUACAGCAGCGAUAGUAAAUGAAUGCAGUGUCCCGGGUUAUGAUGUCUCUCUCUGGCUGCCAGUGCACAUCCCAGGAGGUGAACUCCAUGAUCUGUUUAUGAGUGUGUGUCUGAUGAUGAGAGGUCUCUGAUCUGUGUGUGGGUAUAUGAACCAGGGUGUGAGGUCUCUGACCUAUUUGAGGGUGUGUGUCCCAAAAUUGGUGGUCUCUGAGCUGUUUGUUGGUGUAUGUCUCAGAACAUGAGGUCUCUGAUCUGUUUGUGUGGGCAUGUCCUAGGAUGUGAGGUCUCUGAGCUGACUUGGGGUGUGCGUCCAGUAUGUGAGGUCUUUAAGAUUUUUGUGGGUUGCAUUUCAGGUUGUUAGGUCUCUGAUGCAUUUCAAAGGUAUUUCUGAUGCUAAUGAGCUUUCUGCUUUCUUUGGUGCUAUAUAUACCAGGAUGUCAGGUCUCUAAUCUGUUUAGUUAUGAAUGUCCAGGGGGUGUGAGAUUUCAAAGAGCUUGUUGUGAGUAUACGUCCCUUGGCCCAAAUUCUCUGAUCUCUUGUGACUACGUGUCCCUGGAUAUGAGCUCUCUGAUCUCUUUGUGGGUAUAUGUCACAAGAUAUUAGGUCUGUCAUCUAUUUCUGGCUCUUUUUCUUAGCUUGUCUGGUCUCUAACAUGCUUGUGAGUGUAUGUUAUAAGAUUUGAGAUCUUGGAUCUAUUUCUGGGUGUCUCCUGUUGUAUACGGUCUCUGGUGUGUUUUGGAGUGUAUCCUAUGAUGUGAGCCCCUCGAUCUGUUUGUCAGUAUAUUCCUCAGAAGGUAAGGUCUCCAAUCUCUUUGUGGGUAUAUAUUGCAAGGUUUGAGGUCUGUGGUCUCUUCGUGGUUCCAUGUCCAGGUUGUGAGGUCUCGAAUCUGUUUGUUGAUGUGAACACAGGAUGUGUUCUCUGAUCUUUUGUGUAUGUGUGUAUCUGGGGGGGUGGGUUAUGUCUAACGAUGUGAAGAUUCUCAUCUGUUUUCUGGUAAAUGGACCAGGUUAAAAGGACUGACAUGUUGGAGGGUGUUUUCCCAGGAUUCUCUGAUCUGUUUCUGAAUACAUGUCCUAGGAUGUGAGGUCUCAGAGCUAUUCGUGGCUGUACAUCCCAGGCAUGAGCUCCCUGAGCUGUAAGUGUAUAUAUCCAGAGUAUGAGGGUUCUGAGCCCUUUGUGAGUGUGCGUCUCAGAGUUGAGGCCCGUUUGCAGGUGGACGCCCCAGUACCUGAGCUCUCUCAUCUCCUUGUGGGCGUAUGGCCCGAGAGGUCAAGUAUUUUUAGUUAUUCUGGGUGUAUUUCGCAGGAUGGGAAGUCUCUGACAUCAUGGGUUCCUGCUGUAAGGUUUGAGGUCUCGGGUUCAUUUGUGGUGAUGCAUUUCUCGGGUGAGGUCUCUUAUCCAUUUGUGUGUGUGUGUCACAGUAUGUGAGGGUAUUUUUGGAGGGGGAGUCUCUUUUGCUUGUUUGUCUUGGGUAUGAGGCCUGUUCUUUUUUGUGGGUAUGUGUCGCAAUUUGUGAGGUCCUGGACUUGUUUGUGGGAUGUAUGACUCCGGUGAGGCAUGUGAGCUGUUUGUGGUGUAUGUCCUAGGAUUUUUAUGUCUCUGAGCUUCUUGGAGGUGUGUGUUUUGUGAUGUGAGGUCUCUAAUUGUUUGUGUGUGCGUGUCUCUGCUCUGCCACCUUAAGGCCCCCUAAAGAUGCUCAUGUUCUAAUCCUUGGAAACUGUGCGAAGAUGCGACCUUACGUGUUAAAAAGUACUUUGUAGAUGUGAUUAAAUUAAGCCUCUGGAAAUGAGGAGAUUUUCUAGGUGGGUUCAGUGUAAUCAUAAGGGUGCUGAAAUGCAGGGGACGGGAUGGUUAUUGUCACUGAAUGCAAAAGAAUGACACAAGCCAAGUCAGCUAUGGCGAUCUGGUGGUGGAGAUGUUUGUGGGUGCGUGUCCCAGAGUGCGAAGUCUCUGAGCUGUUCAUGGGGGUGCGUCCUGAGAUGUGACAUUUCUGAUUGUGCAUCUAUGUCUGUAGUCGGCCAAAUAAUAGGCCCCCAAAGAUGUCCAGUGAAGGAUGUGUGACCAAGGAGCCCUGAUUGAAGAGAUGCGAUGAUGCAAGCCGAGUCAGAGAAGGAGAUGUGACAACAGAGACAGAGAUCAGAGAGGUUUGAAGAUGAAGCAUUGAUGUCUUUGCAGGUGGAGGAAGGAGCCGGGGGCCAAGAAUACAGGCAGCUCUGGGAAGUGGAAAAGGCAAGGAAAUGGACUCUCCCCUGGAGUCUCCAAAAGGAAGAUGACUGUUCACGCCUGACUUUUGAGGGUAUUUCCGACAGUUUGAGGUUUCUGAUUUCUUUGAUGCUAUAUAUAUACUGGGAUGUUAGAGCUGUGAUUUCUUAGCUUUGUAUGUCCAGAGUAGGUAGGGUUUCUGAGCUCUGUGUGGGUAUAUGCCCCUUGACUUGAUCUGUUUGCUGGCAAACGUUCCAGCACAUGAGCCCUCGGAUCUGUUCGUGGAUCUGUGUUGCAAGAUGUCAGGUCUGCGACCUGUUUCUGGUCUUUUCCUAGCCUGUGAGGUCUCUGACUUGAUGGUAGCUGUGUUUGGCAGGAUUGGAGGUCUCUGAUCCGUUUGUGAGUCUGCGUCUCCGGUGCGUGUGGUCUCUGCAUUGUUUGUGGAAUAGAUCCCAGGAGGGGAACUUUCUGAUCUGUUUGUUAUGGAUGACUCGGGACUUGAAGUUUCUGAUCUGUUUGUGGGUACAUGUUGCAGAGUUGAAGUCUGUGGUUUUUUCAUGGUCACAGGUUGUGAGGCGGUGCAUAUCCCAGGAUUUCAGCUCCCUGAGGUGUUUAAUGGUAUAUGUCCCAUGGUGGGAGGGCUCUGAACUAUUUGUGGCGUUUGAAGCCUCUGAUCUGUUUGUGGCCACCUGUCCAGGCUGUGAGGUGAGGUGUGUAAUCUCUGUUGGUAUAUGUUCCCGGAUGUGAAUUCCCUGAUCUGUUUGUGGGUAGCGUCUGAUGGUAUGAAAUGGCUGAUGUGUUCACUGGUCAGUGAACCAGAGUGUGAAAUCUCUGACCUGUUUGGGGGUGUUCUCCCAGGAUCUCAUUUCUCUGAUCUGUUUGCUUUCAGCAUGCCCUUGGAAAUGUUUGCUCUCUGAACUCUUUAUGGAUGUCCAUCCCAGGAUAAGAGUUCUCUGAGCUGUUGGGGUGUGCAUGCUCCAGGUUGUCAGACCUCUGAGGUUUGGGGAGUAACUUUCUAAGCAUAUGAGAUUCCUGGUUUGUUUGCUGAUAUAUAUGUGUGUCUAUGUCUAUAUACAUUUAGCUGAUCUGAUAAAUCAGUACGUCUAGGCUGUGAGGUUAUUGAGGUCAUUUCCCUUGGUUUGAAAGCUCCGACCUGUUUGGGAAUAUGUCCCAGAAUACAAGCUCUCUGAUCUUCUCCUGGGUGUGUGUUGCAAGAUCUCAGGUCUUUGAUUGGUUUCUGGCUAUUUUUCCUGGCACGUGAGGUCUCUGACCUGACUGUGGGUAUGUUGCAGGAUUUGAGAUCUCUGAUUUGUUUGUGGCUCUCUCUCUGUCCCAGGUCGUGAGGGCUCUGAUCUGCUUGUGGAUGUAUGUCUCAAGAUGUCAGGUCUCUGUGCUUAUUCUCGGUGUAUUUGCUGCAUGGGAGCUCUUCAACCUUUUUGUAGCUUCAUGUCGCAGCAUUUGAGGGCUGUGAUUCGUUUUGGGUUGUAUUUCUCACAUGAGGUCUCUGAUCUGUUUGUGAAUGUAUAGCAUGGUAUGUGAGUGCCUGAUCUGUUUGUGUGGGUUUAUCAAGGGUGUGAGGUCUAUUCAGUUUGCUGUUACGUGUCCGAGUUUGUGAAGUGUGACCUGUUUGGGGGUUUAUGUCUAAGAAUAUGUUUCUCUCUGCAGUUUGUGUGUGUGUCCUGGACAGAGUCCUCUUCUGUGUUUGCGAGUUUAAUUCCAAGUGAUCGAGGACUGUGAGCAUUCUUAGGUGUUUGUCCCAGAAUGUGUGUGUCUCUGUUCUUUUUGGAUGUCUGUUAGAGGGUAGGAGUUGGCUCAUCUAUUUGGAAGCACAUGACUCAGAAUGUGAGGUCUGUGAACUGUCCGUAUAGGUGUGUCUCUGGUGGCUGAGUAACAGCACCCCAAAGAUGUCCACUUCCUAAUGCCUGGAACCUAUGAUUAUGUUAAUUUACAUGGAAAAAGGAACUUUGUGGAUAUGAUUAAGUUAAGCAUCCUGAGCCAAGGAGAUUAUCCUAGAUUAUCUGAGUUGCUUAAUGCAAUCACAAGUGUCCUUAUAUGAGGGAAGCAUGAAGGCAAGAGUCAGAGAACACGAUGUAGUGACGGAAGCAGAGGCAGAAAAGGUGACAGGGUGACAUAAGCAGAGAUCAAAGAGAGACAAAGGUAGAGAUGGGGGCUACAGAAAGAGAGAGAGGUUGGAAGAUAGAAACCCUGCUGACUUUGAAGACUGGAGGAAGGGGCUACGAACUCAGGAAUGCGGGAACUCCAGAGAGAAGUCCACUCUACUUACACCUUGGCUUUUACCCUGUGAGACUCCUCGUCAGUCUUCUGAUCCGCAGAAAUGUGAGAUAACAAAUUUGUGGUGUUUUAUGGCAAUAAGACUGUGGUGAUUUGUUACAGCAGCAAGUCCAGAGCCCUGAGGAGAUCAAAGGCCUGCGCCUUCAAGAAAUGGAAUAAAUGUGGCUUUCUUUUCUAAGAGAGAAAAGAAAAGAAAAGAAAAAAAGAAACAGUGUCCCAGGUUGUGAUGUCUCUAUCCAGUUGUCAGUGCACAUCCCAGGACGUGAGCUUCACGUCUGUUUGUGAGUGUCUGUCUGAUGGUGGGAGGUCUCUGGUCUGUGUGUGGGUGUAGAACCAGGUUAUUGUGUCUCUAAUCUCUUUGAUAGUGUGUGUUCCAGAAUUUGUGGGCCCCGCUGUUUUGGGGUGUAUGUCCUAGGAGAGAAGGCCUCUGAUCUGACUUUGUGUACAGGUCCCAGGAUGUGAGUUCUCUGAACUGUUGAGGUAUGUAUGUUCAGGAUGUAAGGAUUCUGAGCUCCGUGGCCAUAUUUCCCUUUGCUUGAAACUCCUGAUCGAAACAGAUGUUUCUGUUUCUGUUUCUGUUCAAGGAUGUGAGACUUCCUGGUCUGUUUGUUUGUCUCUGUCUUGUGGUGUGAAGCUUCUGGUAUGUUUGCUAGUGAGUGAAGCAGGGAGUGACGCAGGGCGUAUAUCCCAUGAUGGGAAUUCCGUCAUCUGUGGGUACUCGUCUGACAGUGUGAAGUGUCUGAUCUUUUCAGUGGUGAAUGAACAAGAGUGUGAGGUCUCUGACGUGUUUGAGGACGUUUUCCCAGGAGGGUUGCUGAAAUAUGAAGACAGGGCAUGUUUUAGAAUGGAUGAAACAGGCUCUCGUUCUCUCCGGGGCGAUGGGGGCGUGUUCUGCUGGACGUGGAGCGGUGCAAAGGAGAGGAAGGGCAGCUCACGUGGAGCAGCAGCAGCGCGGAGGCGGCGAGCGUGGAGGGCGCGUGCGUGUCCAGCCUGAAGAUGGACAGCGCGGCCAACAGGCGUGGGGUGUAGGCCCUCGAUUACGUGACGCCAGCCAGGGUCUGGGACAGCACCACACAGUCAAGUACAAUGAACACUUCUGCAGUACAGUUUACAAAUAUUACACCAAGGGAGAGAACAGACUAAAGAGGCCGCUAUCAGGUCUGGUUGGGUUUUGUAGCCAGAUUGGUUACAAAAAAGUCGGUUUUCGGAGCAUCCUGGAUUUUCUGCAUUUUGGACUGUAGGGGCUAACAUUAUUGAAGUCUUACUGUGUAGUGAACACUGUUCAAGUGCUUCACACAGAAGAACUCAUUUAGUUCUCACACCAACUGUAUGAGGUGGGUGCUAUUAUCAUCCCCAUUCUACAGAUCAGGAAACUGAGACACAAAGAGGUUGAGUGACUGCUGAUGAGUGGUGGAGCUGGGACUCAAGCUCGGGCAGGCAGGCUCCAGGGUCCACCCUGCUGACCCUCUGCCACGCUGCCUCCUCACAGGGGUAUGCCGGGAGAUGAGUUUGGCUCUGGCAGUGUUUGGGGGCCCCACAGGUCUGAGGGUGUUGGAGCAGGACCUGGAAGUCACUGAAUGUGACAGGAGGGAAGCCAAGAUAUAGCCUGAAGAGGACAUGUGGAGAGUGGGAAGAGUGAGGACAGGGAGUGAGGGAGUCCCUGGAAACCCGGAUGUUUACAGCGUGGAGGAGUGAGGACGCCGAGCAAGAGCAGCCAGAAAAGUAGCCCGCCCAGGAGACUCCGCAGAGCCUGUGGGCCGCACACUCUGCCCCCUCGCCUGUCAGGGUCCUCUGGGUUGCAGACAGCUUUCCCUCAAGAUCGGCAGUACAGUGAGGCUAGACAGUGCCUGCUCCAGACUUCCUCUCAGUUUGUUGGGCUCCUGUGGGGUCUGGACACCUCCUCCUCCAGACCAUCAGGGGCUCUGGAAUGUGCACACAUUCUCCUCCAGACUGGGGACAUCCCCUGGGAUGUUAGCAUCUCCUACACACUGUUAGCAUCUCUCUGAGGUCUGGACACCUCCUCCAGAGUGUCAGGACAUUGCGGGUGGGGACACUUUCUACAGGCUGUCAGAGUCCCCUUGGGUGUAGACCUGAUCUCCUUCAGACUUUCACAAUCCCUCUGGGGUGAGGACACUUUUUUCCUGACUGUUGGGACAGUGGGGUGUGGAUACUUCCUAAGUCAGACCGCCAGGGUGCCCUGGAGUGUGGAGGGCUCGCUCUCUUCCUCCAGGGCACUCUGGGACAUGGACACCUCUUCCUGCAGAUUGUCAGGACCCCCCGCCUCUUAGAUUGUCAGGUCCUCUGACAUGUGGACGUUUCCUCUACCAGACUGUCAGGGUGCUCUGGGGUAUGGAUGUCUCCUCGUCCAGACUGUCAGGUCCUCUAACGUGUGGGCUGCUCUGCCCCCGGGGCUAUGACCCUCUCUACUUUAUAGUUCGUCAGAGCAGGAGUCUUUCCUCUUCAUCAGUGUUGUUAUUACAGCGUGGACAUGCUCA